AAAAAAAAAAAAAAAACCUUAGGUUGUGCGACUUCUGGAACAACCCGACUGCUGCACCAAUUCAUGCUUCAAAAUUAAAUUAAACUCUCUUCCAAAAUCGUGGCAUGUUCAACUAAUUAAUGCACCGUGCUUCUUCAUUCAAAUAAAAAAAAUGAAAAGUGUGUUUCAAUUGCAAAAAAAAUGAAAAGGUUGAAUGACCUCUACACCUCAAAACUGUGACACCAAAAAAAAAAAAGUGAACACCUACCACCAAAUGUCCCAUCAUCUCUCCAUUUAUUUUUUUUCAUUCAAUAAAACCAAAAAUAAAAUAAAACAUCACUUCCUCCAGCCUCUGCCAACAACGCUUCUCUUCAUUCUUCAAAGCCAAAAAAAACAAUUCAAUAACAAUUCUCUCUUCCCAAGAAAACCGUGGCAGCUUAGAAAGAUGGGGCAGUUAGCAUUCAAUCAGUGAGCUCUCGUUUCUUCAUCCAUCAUCCCAUAAUUCAUAUAUAAGCUCCAUGGAAAAAGCAAAGCAACGUUCCAGUCGAGACCUCCCAAAAAUAUUUCUGCCGAGAGAGUGUGAGUGAAUUCCUCCAUGUGACGGCUGCUGAAUGUUUUCUAGGAUCAUGUGUCCUCCAAAAAAUGGGGUGGGGUCCACCCUAAAACCCUAGGAUAGGACAUGUGUCUCACAAAGUUUUGGGCUUUUACAAAUUUGCUACUAAAAAGGGCCCAAUACACAAAAGUUUGUCCAAAAAGUUUAAAUAAUUAAAUUACAAUGUAACUAAAAUUUAAAAUGUCUAAAUGGAGAGUCUUGAAUUUAUUUGGUGUCCUUCAAAUGUCCUAAAUUGUGUUUCCAAAAUUUUCCUGAAAAUAAUAAUGCAAAUAAUUAACUCAAAAAAUUCAAAUUAAUUAAAAUUAGAAUUUCCGGUCAAAUUAAGCAUAAUUAGGAAAAACAAGAAAAUACUGGACAAUUAAGCACAAUUCUCUGAUUAAUUCUAGCACAAUAAACUAAGUGAAAUCAAUAAAAUAUCGACUCAUCAAAAUAGACCACACUUAGUCUUUUGCACUCCUGGGCAAAAUCAAGACGCAAAUCAGGGAGUAGUUCAACGAACAUCAGGGAAUUGACACAGACUCAACACACAGAAAACAAAGACUAACAAGGAAAGAAACAUACAAAAUUACAAUCCUCAAGAAAUCUAGACAAAGAAAAGAAAUAGAUAAUAUCCAACACAGAAUCAGAGAAAGCGGAAACUCAGAAAAAUCAUCCAAGCAAUUCCAAGCAUAGCAAAAUGAUCAAUCUGCUCAAGAGGUGAAUCAAAAGCAACAGAACCUCACAGAUGCACACUAUCAGUGUUUCCCUCAAGUGUCUAAGGUAAACAAUGUCAACUCAAUGCACUCAAGAAAGCAAACACAAACAGACUUGGCAAGCCUCUAAUAUCAACACUCAAAACAUAUAUGCAUGUUCAAAUCAAAAGGUCUUUUAUGGGUGAAAUGGGGCCAAGGACAAGGGAGGAUAUAAUAUGGAUGAGAAGCUACAAUCCAAAAGGAAUAGAGGAGCAAUGGGGAACAAGUGUAAACACAUUCAAAUCACACCCAAAACCUCUAAUUCAAUCCUCUUCUUGACUCCUUUAUUCACAAUUUUUUUUUUCUCAUUUUUCUGUAUUUUUAUUUUUUUUUUCUCUCUUUUUUUUUCAUCUUGUCUCUUUUCUCUUCUCUUUUUUUCAGAACAAAACUCUAAGAGACAAGAUACACAACAUAUUUACAAAACAAAACAAGAAGAGGAGCCUAUUAGCCAAAUCACCAGAAUCUCCCAAGAGACCACACUUAUUCCCAAAACACUUCCAAAGCUCCAAAAUUCCCUACGGUUAAGGUAAUCAUGGUUUUUUUUUUUUCACUUAAGGCUAGUGUAUCAGCUUCAAAACAAAGAAAUGGGGAAAGUAUAGGCUCAAAAGGGGUUAUCAAGGGAUUAAAACAAGGUAGGCUCAUCUGGCUAGAGGGGUGAUGAGUGGUUAUUUCUUGAACUAUAUUUAGUUUAUUGCACUUAAAUAAACCAGGGAAUUGUGUUUAAUUGUCUGUUAUUUCCCCGUUUUCCGAAUUCUGCUUAAUUUGGUCGGAAGUUCGUAAUUGUGCUAAUUUGGGUUUUCUGAGUUGAUUAAGUGUAUUUUGGUUGCAGGGAAAUUUUGGGAAACAUCAUUUGGAGCAUUAGGGAUGGUGGCAUGAUCAUUCAAGACUCAACAUUUAGCCAUUUCCAUUUUUAUAAAGUUGUAAUUUCAUUUUUUUAGAGACCUUAAUUAAAUUAAGUGCAUUUGGGCCCUUUUGUGGCAAAAAUUUUGUAGAAGCCCAAUGUGUGGGACACUUGGCACCAAAAUCCUAGGUUUUUAGGAGGUGGACCCCACCUAUUUUGAGAAGGGGACGGUAUUUCCUGGGGCAAUUGCCGAGACCACUCACAACUCACUCAUUCUACACUUUUGCUUUGGCUUUGCAUGUAUGACUCUCUCUUGGGAGCCUUUGGUGUGCCAUUUUCGUUUUUGAGCUUUAAUGGACCAAGAUCACGUUUUUCUUCUUCUAUUGUUUGCAACAAAGUUUGUUCUUGCUUGAUGGAAUGAAGCUCUACCAUUUCUCUCUUUAGAUUUUCGUUUUGAAGGUUGAAUGCUUGAGUUUGAAGCUUCUUCUUUGCUUUUUCAUGGUGGUUUCUUUGGUGGAAGGGAGACNNNNNNNNNNNNNNNNNNNNNNNNNNNNNNNNNNNNNNNNNNNNNNNNNNNNNNNNNNNNNNNNNNNNNNNNNNNNNNNNNNNNNNNNNNNNNNNNNNNNNNNNNNNNNNNNNNNNNNNNNNNNNNNNNNNNNNNNNNNNNNNNNNNNNNNNNNNNNNNNNNNNNNNNNNNNNNNUAUUCUUGAGCCAUUUUCUUCUAGCAUUUUGUUUUUGAUGUUGGGAAACAAAUUUGGAGCUGGACUUUGUGCUUGAUGAUGGUGGCUGGACGGUAAUGCAAGGGAAGCUAGAGGUUUGGUUUUGUUUUGGUCAAAAAGUUAAAGAAAAGUGAGUGGUGAAGUUGGAUUUAUGAAGGUAGAACUUGGUUUUGUUAUGCUUGUGUUAAUUAGCAUUUGAAACUUGGGUUUCUUAGUGUGUGUUCUCGGUAUGGAGAAGGGAAGGAACAAUUUGAAUGUUUGCUUGUUGAAGAAAAACCGAAAAGAGUUGUGCAAGGAGAGAGAAUGCUUCAUUUAAUUCUUUACCUCAUUUGGCCAUGCAUAUGAAGGGGACAUUUUCCAUAGGAAGGAAUAUUUCCAUUUUGGUUUUGUCUUGCUAUCACUUGAAAUUGCCAUGAGUGGCUUUGGAGAUGGGAGGUUAUUGUGAUUGUUUUUCCUUGCUUUGACUUUGCACAUGUGGCAUCUUGAAAGAAGAGCUUAAAGCACCCCUUUGACUUGUGGACUUUUUAGAAGCAUUCUUUGCACCCAACAAUUGCAUUGUUCACGUGAAUUGAUUGGCUUGGUGUGGUUUCCAUUUUAUUUUNCUGCAUGCAAGGAGUGAUGGACGGUUUUAGUUGAUUGGAAGGCAUAUGUUUAUUCACUUGAAGUAUGGCAAAAUGAUCAAUCAGUUCAAGAGAUGAAUCAAAAGCAACAGAACCUCACAGAUGCACUAUUAGUGUUUCUCUCAAGUGUCUAGGGUAAACAGUGUCAACUCAAUGCACUCAAGAAAGCAAACACAAACAGACUUGGCAAGCCUCUAAUAUCAACACUCAAAACAUAUGCAUGUUCAAAUCAAAAGGUCUUUUAUGGAUGUAAUGGGGCCAAGGAAAAUGGAGGAUAAAUAUGGAUAAGAAGCUACAAACCAAAAAGAAUAGAGGAGCAAUGGGGAAUAAGUGAAAACACAGUCAAAUCACACACAAAACCCUCUAAUUCAAUCCUCUUCUUGACUCCAUUAUUCACAUUUUUUUUUGUAUUUUUUUUUCUUCUUUUUUUUUUCAUCUUGUCUCUUUUCUUUUUCUCUCCUUUCAGAACACAACUCUAAGAGACAAGAUACACAACAUAUUUACAAAACAAAACAAGAAGAGGAGCCAACUAACCAAUUCAUCAGAAUCCCCAAGGAGACCACAUUUAUUCCCAAAACAAUUCCAAAGCUCCAAAAUUGCCUAAGGUUAAGGUAAUCAUGGUUUUUCACUUAGGCUAUUAUGUGAGCUUCAAAACAAAGAAAUGGGGGAAGUAUAGGCUCAAGGAGGCUAACAAAGAGAUCAUAACAGGGUAGGUUAUCUGGCUAGAGAGGCUCAAUCAACAAAAUGCCUUUAUCAUUUUCAAAAAUGCUCAUGAAUCAAGAAUUAUCAACAGAGUCAAGCCAAGGCAAAUGUGUAAGCAAUCCAGCGACAUAUCACACACAAGAAAGAUCAUCAAAUGGCUCAAAUCUCACACGGGUAAUCGGUCACAAUCAAUCCAACUCUCAAACAUCAUGAUUAUCUUCCAAGCAAAGAAGAGCAAGGAGUCUAACAAAACAAAGUAUCAAUGUAGUGAAGGGAAACUAGCAACCUAAUCACAGUCCAGAAUUCACAAAAACAUGCAAAACUGUACAUAAGACUCAACAAAAUUCACUAGAAAACGAAACCUAAACAAAGAACAACCUCCCCUAAUAGACCACACUUAAACAACACAAUGUCCUCAGUGUGUCACAAUUAGCAGAUCAACAAUCAGAACAAUCAACAGAUCAUGGACAAGUGCAAUAAAAGUAGGGAAAGGGGAAUAAGGGAAAGAAGAAAACUCCCCUGAUCAUGGUGGCAGUUGCCAAUUUUGGACUUUCAGGGAGAGGCCCUCCACCAUUGGAUUCAGCAAGGAAGUCUUGAGGAAGAACUGCUUCAUCCUCCAAAUUUGAUCGAGCAGGGAGAUGUCCUCCACAACUGGAUCCAAGAAGCAGUGAUUGUUGAUGAGCGGGUUCAGUUGGUGCCUAUUGAUGUUGAAGCUUUUAUGUACUCUGGCACCCUUGUCUUCCACCAUGGGUGUGUGUUGAUCAAAUUCAUAUGUACCUCCUGCAACAUGGUUAGUGCAACAUGGUUCAACAGAAAUAACAUGCAGGGGUAUAACACCCAAUCCUAGUGUAACAGGCUGAACCAAUGAUAUACCCUCAGAACAUAAAUCAAUUUCAGAAAUAGAAACAAUAUCAAUCACAGGUUCAGAUUCAUGUUCAGUGCAUGGAGAACAAACAUUCAUAUGUGAUAACACAAGGUGGUUCUCAUCAUGCAAAGAGGGAGAAUGAAAAUCAUGCUCAUCAACCUCAUAAUCAUCAACAUACCUAUCAUCAACAUAAUCAUCAACAACAGAAUCAAUCACAGGUAUGUUUACCUCCACUUCCCUAGAAGUUGGUAGAGUAGUGGAAGGUGAAGUUGGUCUACCUAUCACAAUAGUGUUUCUCAUCUCUGUCUGGUCCUCCAAUUCUUCAUUAAUCUCCUCAAGUGCAAGAGUAGGGGCAUAGGAGAAUGAGAAAGUAGGUGGCGCAAUAGUAGACUUGUGACUCUGCUCCCUAUCUCCUAUGUGGAUGGCAUCAACAUCAUCUGGAAGCUGAACAGCCUGAAAUGGUGAUUCCUCUGAAACAUAAGACUGUUUCUCAGUGAGCUGAGUGGUCAUCUGCCCCAUCUGAUCAGUCAAACUCUAAAGGGAAGUUAAUUCCUAAUGAAACUCCAUGUUCAGUUGUUGGAACUGAAUGUUCUGAAUAGUCAUAUGCUCCAAUAACUCCUUCAAUGUAGGCUCAGAAGUAGUGGGAGGAUGAGGAGUUGCUUGGACAGGCUCAUGAGACUGCAGCUGCUGUGGCUCCUGGACAGGUGGAGGCAUACAAGUACUCUGGAAUGGUGGUUCUUGAUAUUGAAGUUGUGAAGUACCAUACCAUCCCAGGUCAGGAUCAUUCCACCCAGGAUCGUUGCUAUAUGAAUCAAAAUGAUGCUGAGUAGGGAAGAAUCUAUCCAAAAACAAAUGCUUAAGAUCUUCCCAAUUGGCCUUGAAUUCUGGUGGAAGAUGAAUAAGCCACUCCCAUGCUGCUUCUUCUAAUGAAUGCGGAAAUACCCUUAAAAACAUGUGAUCAUCAGGACAUGAAGAGGUUUCUUCGAAGAGCAAAUGGUGUAGAACUCCUCCAAAUGUCUACAUGGGCAUUCACCUGCAAACCCAUAAAACCUAGGUAGCAAAUCUGUAAGUCCAGAGGUGAGAACGCAAUGAACAUCAACCUCAUCAAGUGGAACUGGCUCCCAAAGAGCACUCUCAAGAAUGGAAGGAUGAGUCAUAUUGUUCUCACAUAAAAAUCAGCAGAAUAUACAUGAGAAGCAAUAUCAAAGGCACAGGCAGAAGAAACAAUAUCCACAUAGCCAAAACAGGUAGGCAUGGGAAAGAAGGAGGAAAAGAAGAAUGCACUGAAAAUAUGCAACCUAAGCUAACUGAAUGCAACACACAAUGACGAACACAUAAAACAAAACAUCACACUCACAACACAAGAUAAGACAACACACAUUAACACAACAAAAAACUCAAUACUGAACCGUUCGUCCCCGAAAAUGGCGCCAAAAUUUGAUGGGUGUCGUAGCCCAUACAAAUUUGAUUGCAUACGAGAAAUGAAGUAUAGCAAGGGAAUGACCCUAGGUCGUCUCUCAAGGACCAAACUGCAGUUCAGAAUCAGGUCUAACACAGUGGGGGGGGGUUUGAAAUGUUGUUUGUGGAUGCGGAAAAAUUAAAAUGAAAUUAAAUUAAAACGCAGAUGUAAAAAAACAUAAUUAAAUUCAAUUAAAACGAAAUUAAAUGCAACAACACAUUUCACCAUGCAUGAAAAUGAAAUUAAAACAGUAAAAACGAAACUGCUACAGUAAAUACGAAAAUUCACGCUGGAAUUGGACAACCCUGACCUUUGCUCAAUGUUUUACCCAUAACUUUUUCUACAGGGCUCUAAAUGAGAUGAGGUUUUUUUUCCUGGAAAAUAGACUCAAAUAUCUUUCAUGUGAUCUAUAAAACGUAGCAUUUGGACCUUUGGUGUGGUUGCAGUUAUUUUUUUAAAAUCGAGUACAGAGAGUGAAAAUGCUAAACCCAAUACUAGAGCAAACAAAUAUCUAGCACAGUUAAAAUUAUUAAUAUGCAUCACUAAAUUAAAAACAUGAAACCCAACUCAACAAACUAUGUGAAAUUAAAUUAAAGCACAAGAAAAUAAAAAGACAAAUUUAUCUAACUACUCACAUGACCACAUGUGUUUCUAGCAAAGGAAUUUAAAAUGAAAUUGCUUUUCUUUCUCAAAAAUCAUCAUGGCCGUGACCUUGUGCCUCCAGCCAAAACGUUGCCACCUCCAGCUACCAUCCAUCAGCGCCUAAUCUACCAUUCCUUCCUUUGCUAUCAACAACUUUCUUCUUUUUUUUUUAUUAAAAGAAAACCAUACGUGGCAGCCAAUUUCCUAUUCCCACAAUGCAAAACCCUAAGUGGCAGUUGGUCAUGAAGCUAAAAAAAAAAAAAAAAACACACACACUAAACCAAAGGAAAAAGUAAAUAGCAAAUCAGCACACAUAUUCAAAAGCUAAAAUCCCUAAAACCAAAAUCUAUCCCCUGCAACAAAGGUGUGUCGGCAGCUCUCAAAAAGUGGCAGCCAGAAAAGUGUGCGCCUCUCCUUGUCGUGACACAACCUUUCAUUAUCUAAUCUUCAAUGGAAUCAAAGUGCUGAAUAAAACGUUCCAGCACACCCUCCAAAUUACGUUCCAGCCCAAGCAUAACGGAGUGUGUCGGCAACUGUAGCUCACCCAAAACCAACGUUCCAGCUCCUUCCAUCAUCAAAAUGAAUGCAACCCCCUUCCUUUAAAACGUUGCAGAUCAAAAAAAAUGUGUAGCAGCUGCUUCAAUCCACCAUUGCCGAGAAUAUAUUGUCCUCCUCUCUUUUUUUUUAAAAAAACGUUGCAGCCUAAAAGCCUUUAACAAGUGACGGCUGUAACCUUUUUCCCUCGGACCAAGUGUGUCAAAAAUAGGGUGGGGUCCACCCUCUUUGCAAAACCCUAGGUGUCAUGUCAUGUUCUCAUUUGGGCUCAAACUAUUUUGCCAAAAAUUGGCCCAAUGUUUACAAGUUUAAUUAAAAACUAUCUAGACUACUAAGUUUCAAAGUAAUUAAAUUUGAAAUAUCUAUAUGAAGAGUCUUGAUUUUAUUUUGUCUCAUUCCCAAUGCUCCAAAUUGUAUUUCCAAAAUUUUCCCUGAAAAUAAUAAUGCAAAUAAUUAGCUCAGAAAAUUCAAAUUAAUUAAAAUUAAAAUUUCCAGUCAAAUUAAGCAUAAUUAGGAAAAAUGGGAAAAUAUCGGACAAUUAAGCACAAUUCUCUGAUUAAUUUAAGCACAAUAAACUAGGUGAAGUCAAGAAAAUAUUGACUCAUCAAACCCUUGCACCAAUUUUUUUAUUUAUCCAGACUUCAUUCAAUGAUAAUUAAUAUAUAUAAAAAUAUAUAUAUAUAUAUAUAUAUAUAUAUAAAUCUCUAAAAAUGCUCACAAUUCUAUAAUUCAAUAAACAUUUCUAUUAUAUCUAUGAAUUUCGUAUUCUCAUUUAAGCACUCCACCAAUUACUACUUGCCACACUAAUAUAUACAUAUAUAAUCCAACCAGAAAAUGUACUUAACCACCAUAAAUUUCCAGUCCAUAUACUUAUUAAUAACUAAUACCCCAUAAAAAUACUAUAUCAUCAUAUUAUAAUUCAGUUACUUAGUGGCAUACCUUUGUGACAUUUCUAUACUUUCAGAGAACAAAAUUAAUUCAAACUGUUUUAGAAAUCCUCUCCAUUAGGACUCCCCAAUUGAAUGUUUUUAACCCUCUUUUCCCAUACGACUCCUACUACUUUUAGUUACCCCUUUUAUAGUUAGUCCUCUCUUAUUGAACAACAUCAGAUUUUUAUUAACAGUAUGUCGCAAUCGGAAAAUCGCGACGGGACGACGACGAUCCAAAAAAUGAAAACGAGUUUAGAAAAAAAAAGUUUGGAGUCGCCACCAUAGUUUAUUCUGGAAAACUACGGGAAAACCAUAAAAGGACAAGGCAAGGUCUACAAUACCAAAUUCUGGUUUCGGAAGUCGGUUACGUGUGGGGAAGGUGUUAGCACCCCCACAACGCCUGCCCUAAGGCAGUACCUUUUUAACUAAAUACGCGAAUUUGAUGUGGUUUGCAAAAUGUUUAAUUUCUCCUAAAAAUAAAAAAACAAAAUAUUUUUUUUGUGUUUUUUGUGUCCGACAAGGAUUGACCUUGCUCCUACGUAUUCUCAGUUGGACUGAGAAAUCAGGGUUACAUAGUUCUUUAAUCGUUUGGAAAAUUUGUUUGAGAAAUUUGUUUGAGAAAGGAUGUUUUGGUAUUUUUGUAAUUUUUAUGUAAGAAAAAAAAAAGGUCUUCUAGCACAAGGACGAUGCGUGCGAUCACACAUGCGCUAGAAUCCUUAAAAUAUAUUUUUAAUUUUUAUUUAUAGAAAAGAAGGGGUUUUCUAGCACAAGGACGAUGCGUGCGAUCACACAUGNAAAGAAGGGGUUUUCUAGCACAAGGACGAUGCGUGCGAUCACACAUGCGCUAGACCCCUUAAAAUAUAUUUUUAAUUUUUAUUUAUAGAAAAGAAAGAGUUUUCUAGCACAAGGACGAUGCGUGCGAUCACACAUGUGCUAGACUCCUUAAAAUAUAUUUUUAGUAUUUUUAUUUAUAGAAAAGAAAGGGUUUUGUAGCACAAGGACGAUGUGUGCGAUCACACAUGUGCUAGACCCCUUAAAAUAUAUUUUUGGUAUUUUUAUUUAUAGAAAAGAAAGGGUUUUCUAGCACAAGGACGAUGCAUGCGAUCACACAUGUGCUAGACCCCUUAAAAUAUAUUUUUGAUGUUUAUUUAUAAAAGUAUAUUUAAAAAGGUAGAUAAAUAUUUAAAAUGGAAGCAAAAGAAAAAAAAGAAAAAUAAAAGAUAGAUAAAUAAAUAAUGAAAAUAAAAUAAAAAGUAAAAGAUAAAAUAGAUAAAAAUAAACUAAUAAGUAAAAAGAAAGGGUGUGGUGGUGCUAAAAUAAGAGAAGGGGUAUUCAAUCCCAAUUUAGUUCUAAAAACAGAUUGAGCCUAAGCCCAAGUAGAAAAAAGGUGGUAAAAAUGAAAAAUAGGGGUGUACAAACUAAAUUAUCUCUAAAGGCAGAUUGGGCCUAAGCCCAAUUGAAAAGGGUGUGACUUAGCGAACAUGGGGUGCAGAAGGGAUUCCCUUUUUUUAAUCAACAGAUGGGCUCAAGCCCAUUGCACAUGCGGUGCCAGAUAGUAGAAACUGGGGUGGCGAGAGAAGGUUUUUUGUUUGGUUUUAUUAUUAUUAUUUUGUUGGUUGGGCUUGACACCCAGGCCCAUGCUCUCUUGACCUAGAAUCGUAAGAGGGGUCAAGCCUCACUACCUCACUCUGCACUCUCAGACUCAAACACCAGAGACUCAAGGUUUCGCGUCUCUCUCUCGAAGACAACCGAACCCUCAAGCUUUCUCUCUCUCACAAGGGCGCGCCACCACCCUCAGCCAGAACCGGCCACCAGGCCAAUACUUGCACCAGUCUCGACCUCGCUGGUGGCAAUAGGUGUCACCGGAACCAUGGUUGGCCACCGCGUCCUCUUUGCGUCUCUCUCUCAAUCGCAACCGCCCAGGAUUGGGUUCCUUCGCCACCACACGACUCGACCGGCCGCCGUUCCCAUCCGGUCAGCCAUGGCAACGCCGACAUCCUCGCCACCAUCCGGCCAGCCAACGCAGGCCGUGACGACCUCACUCUCUCUCCUUCUGCUCGCGUCGGCCUAGGGUGUGGGGUUUGUCUCCAACCGGCCACCGCCUUAUCCAGUCUCGCCGCCGCUGGCGACGGCAGAUGCCACCAGGAUCCAGGCCAGCGUCACUGCACCGCCACCUUCCUUCUCCUCUUUCUAUUCUCGUGCUCUUGGGGUCAUCUCCUUUUCAUUUCACCGGUCACCACAACUCCAAUUGGUCAGGGCUGCCUUAAAGGUCCAACUUUGAACGAAUUGGCAUGGAAUUUGUGAUUUGAUUUCUGUUUAUUGGUUUGAUGCAGGUGAAAGAUGAUGUUGGGUUUGUUCUAUGGUACUCUGUGUAAGUUUCUGUUUAACUGGGUGCAAUUCCUUCGUUGGUUAUUGGAGAUGAACAGAGGCGUGGAGGUUUAAGCUUCAUUAUCUGGUUUGGCUCCUGGGAUUUUUGGUGUUUGAUGGGUAGACAUAGGCUGUCGCGUUGACAAAGAAUGGUGGAACAAGAAAAGCUGAAGUAAACUUGGAUUUCGGUUUGUUGGGAAGAUGAUGUAUCUGCAGAUGACGGGUUACUGGAAUUUGGGUUGCGCAGGUUUGGGUUAUGCAAAGAGAGUACUGGUCUCUAAUGGUUGGAGGUGGUGAAGCAUGUUCAGUUUGUUGGGAUGAAUGGAAAACAAAAAAACAAACCAUGUACAGAAACAAAUCAUGCAUACUCAAUAUAAUAGCAAGUUCGAUAUGAGCAGUCAAAGCCAGGCAUUACCAAAUCAGAACAGAAGGAGAAACCCCAUUAGGAGUAAAUUGUAAUCGUCUAACAUUCAUAACUUUGUGAGUGAUGAAGUUAAAGAGAACUUACCUUCUACGUUUACACUCUCUUCUCUCAAGUCCUUGUGAUCCUUUUUCUUAUGAUUCAACUCCACUUCUUUUCUUCAGUAGCCUUGGUGUUAGUCUAGAGAAAAAACAUUUUUCUUUGCUUCGUAAGUGUGAGGAGUGGUCAUGAAAAAAAUGGAUACUGUUUUUUUUUAUGAUUCCCAACUGGUGAGAAUGGGUGAUCAAAGUAACUGAGAGCAGGGGCAAUGGUUAGUACCGAGUACUGGUCGUGGCUGCCCAAGUGGACGGUUUCAUCAUGGAGGUUAUUAGAGGAGCCGAAGGGUGGAGAACGUGUCCUUCCUUGCCUGCCAAGACCAAACCGCCUCUGCCAAAUGUACCUCUGCCAAUUUGCAAAACGUUCUCUGCCAAAAUCCAUCCCUACACCUGUCAUGUCCCCCUUUUGUCGUUUACAAAUGUGGCUUCACUCAUUUUUUCUUUUUUUUAAUUAAAUAUAUUUAAACAAGAUAAAAUAUAAAAAGGUAAAACUUAAAAAAUGAAAAUAAAAAAUUAAAAAUUAAAAAAUAUAAAGGGAAAAGCAAAAUGAAAUAAAAAGAGAAUAGGAUGAGAUAAAUAGAAUAAAAACUAAAUCAAAUACUAAAUAGUAAAACAAAAAUUAAACAAAAUAAAACAAAAAUAAAAUAAAAUAAAAAUAAAAUAAAAUAAGACAAAAAUAAAAACUAGUCCUAUUAUUCAGUCAUCCGGACGAAAUUGGGUGUUGACACAGUAUCUCAUGACCAAAGAAGGAAAUUACAAACCAAGUAUACCCUUUAUUCCUAGUCACUAGUACAUAUCAAAUUCGAAAAAGUUACAUCAUAAUUAAUAUAACAACUUUUCUACGGUUCAUUACAUGAUUAAUCAAUUGGAUAAAACCCCCAACCCUUUCUAGAAUCAUUAUUGUUUCAGAUUGAGACCCGAAACCAAACACAAACCAAGUUGUUUCGCUGAAUUGCCUUCGUUAACCUUACUCUCACGUUCGAUCGGGUGCAACCUGCACGUUAGCACUUCGACGCUCAAGUUAGCAAAGUCGCACUAAUCUCAAGAUAAGAGUAAUUAUGUCAAAAGUGAAAAAGUACCUGAUACACGCCUUUAUAUUUAUAGGCAUCUGA
rnacentral:lncRNA from 1 species